CACCUCAAGCAUACCCAAGCCAAUUUUCUUUGCAGAAACCAUUGAUUAAGAACAGUGUAGCUCUCAAACAAUGGGUCGUAGCAGUUUGUUUAUCCUUUUUCCUCUUCUGCUUCUGACAUUUUCAUCCAUCACAAGGGUUGCAGAAGCACGUCUCACCACAAAAAUACUCUUUCCACCGGAAGAUGACAUUCCUGAUGUGGAAGUUACACUCCCAAUUAAUAUCACACUCCCUGAGCUUGAGUUUCCUAAACUGCCAAUUCCCGACGUAAUUUUUGUUGAGGACGCCAAAAAAACCCCAUGAGUGCCUACACUUCCUCAAAUCUAUCAUAAUUCCAAGGUGGUUCUGUCGGCUGCUUUAUGUGUCCUUCAAUUACUUGUCAUGUUCAGUUUAUAUGUUGUUUCAGACAGUUUUACUGAAGCAUAAUAAUUAUUGUGAUUCGUGAUGUUGUAUCGGACUUCUUGUCUUCUACUUCAAUAAAUUACUGAAUUUCUUUUGUUUGGUAGAAAUCUUCCAUUUCUGAA